rnacentral:misc_RNA from 1 species
AACGCACAUUGCGCCCGCCAGCAUUCUGGCGGGCAUGCCUGUCCGAGCGUCAUUUCAACCAUCAAGCCCCCGGGCUUGUGUUGGGGUACUGCGGCUGCUCGCAGGCCCCGAAAUGCAGUGGCGGGCUCGCGGACACACCGGGCGUAGUAGUAUCAACCUCGCUCAGGGCGUGCCGCCUGUCCUAGCCGUAAAGCCGCGUUUUCUCAGCACUAAGGUUGACCUCGGAUCAGGUAGGAGGACCCGCUGAACUUAA